ACUAACGCUGGCGGCGUGCCUAAUACAUGCAAGUCGAACGGUCAUGCAUUUAUAGCAAUAUGAGUGUAUGGUAGUGGCGAACGGGUGAGUAACACGUGGAUAACCUACCUUUAUGUGGGGGAUAACUCCGGGAAACUGGGGCUAAUACCGCAUGACAUCAUUCUGGGGCAUCUCAGGAUGAUCAAAGACGUAAGUCGCAAAAAGAUGGAUCCGCGUCCCAUCAGCUAGUUGGCGGGGUAAUGGCCCACCAAGGCUUUGACGGGUAGCCGGACUGAGAGGUCGAUCGGCCACAAGGGGACUGAGACACGGCCCCUACUCCUACGGGAGGCAGCAGUAGGGAAUUUUGGUCAAUGGGGGAAACCCUGAACCAGCGACGCCGCGUGGGUGAUGAAAUCCUUCGGGAUGUAAAACCCUUUUCAUCGGGACGAAAUAAAAAUGACGGUACCGGUGGAAUAAGCCUCGGCUAACUCCGU
rnacentral:rRNA from 1 species